UGGGAAUUUUGGACAAUGGGCGAAGCCUGAUCCAGCAAUGCCGCGUGUGUGAAGAAGGCCUUCGGGUUGUAAAGCACUUUUGUCCGGAAAGAAAUCCUUGGCUCUAAUACAGUCGGGGGAUGACGGUACCGGAAGAAUAAGCACCGGCUAACUNCGUGCCAGCAGCCGCGGUAAUACGUAGGGUGCAAGCGUUAAUCGGAAUUACUGGGCGUAAAGCGUGCGCAGGCGGUUUGCUAAGACCGAUGUGAAAUCCCCGGGCUCAACCUGGGAACUGCAUUGGUGACUGGCAGGCUAGAGUAUGGCAGAGGGGGGUAGAAUUCCACGUGUAGCAGUGAAAUGCGUAGAGAUGUGGAGGAAUACCGAUGGCGAAGGCAGCCCCCUGGGCCAAUACUGACGCUCAUGCACGAAAGCGUGGGGGAGCAAACAGGAUUAGAUACCCUGGUAGUCCACGCCCUAAACGAUGUCAACUAGUUGUUGGGGACUUCAUUUCCUUAGUAACGUAGCUAACGCGUGAAGUUGACCGCCUGGGGAGUACGGUCGCAAGAUUAAAACUCAAAUGAAUUGACGGGGUC
rnacentral:rRNA from 1 species